rnacentral:rRNA from 1 species
UACGUAGGGUGCGAGCGUUAAUCGGAAUUACUGGGCGUAAAGAGUGCGUAGGCGGUUCUUGAAGUCCGCUGUGAAAUCCCCGGGCUUAACCUGGGAAUGGCAUUUGGGACUGCAAGGCUUGAGUGCGGCAGAGGAGACUGGAAUUCCUGGUGUAGCAGUGAAAUGCGUAGAUAUCAGGAGGAACACCGAUGGCGAAGGCAGGUCUCUGGGCUGACACUGACGCUCAUGCACGAAAGCGUGGGGAGCAAACAGG